UACGAAGGGGCUAGCGUUGUUCGGAAUCACUGGGCGUAAAGGGCGCGUAGGCGGCCGUUCAAGUCGGGGGUGAAAGCCUGUGGCUCAACCACAGAAUUGCCUUCGAUACUGGGACGGCUCGAGACCAGAAGAGGUCAGUGGAACUGCGAGUGUAGAGGUGAAAUUCGUAGAUAUUCGCAAGAACACCAGUCGGCGAAGGCGGCUGACUGGUCCGGUUCUGACGCUGAGGCGCGAAAGCGUGGGGAGCAACAGG
rnacentral:rRNA from 1 species